AGGAACUAUAGGAGUUUCAUGCUCUUUGUUGUCAUGGAAACAGCUGUUGUAACAUGAGUCAGAGCACCAAAGCUGAUGAAUUUUUAGCGGAAUACUGUAUUUCAGUUCUUUAAUCACAUCUCGUAUACAUUUUGGUUUAUGACAUCCGGUGGCAUCCUUGCAAGAUGCUCAAAAAUGUUAUCUUGCAAGAAUGUUAUUAAUUAGUACUGGUGGCCUUAGAGCAGGGGUGGGCAAACUAUUCCACAAAUGGCCGCAGUGGGUGCGGGGUUUUUUUGCAACCCAUUAAGAGGACACCUUUUCACCGAUCUGAAGUGCAAUCAGUUGAUUGCAGGCAGGUGCUUCUCAUUUCUGCUGAAACCUCAUUGGAUAAACUAUUUAAACUAUCUGUGCUGGGUCAGUUGGAACAAAGACCAGGACCCACUGCGGCCCUCGAGAACCAGUUUGCCCACCCCUGCCUUAGGGCCCAAGUACACCAGAUGCAUGAUCGUUGCGGUUCCGGUCCGGUUCAGUGUUGACUGCGUGCCACGCAGUACGUCAAAAACAGGCAAAUCAUACCGGCUGCGCACGGCUGCAGUCCACCAACUCCGUUCCCUCUUGAGCGCUCGCGUGAUCGCGUGCUAUAAUGUGCAAUUUAAAACAACGAAAAACACACUGUUUAUACUCAUCAGAGAAGCAGAGAGAGAGCACAUUUUUUCUUUGCAUAUUGAUAUUUUAUGUCUGUCUCUUAAUUCCAGAUUGACUGCAUCAUUUUGAGAUCAGGGCUUCGUGUGUGGGGGGAAGGGGGCGGGGCCCUAUUAUGUCCUUGGUUGUGUCGAUGGGUUUAUAUCUUUGUGCACAUUUGAAAUUAUGGCACAUAACAUCUCAUAGAGCUGUUAUAAACAACUGUUAAAUAAUCUGUAAUAUUUAUAAAAUGGAUAGCGAAUUAUAUACUACACGAACUAAAAAACAGCGUACUUGGAAUUGGCGUCUCAACACUGCAGAUUCCUGUGCCCAGCGCAAACUGUUGGUUUUUCUAUGAAAAGUCAAGUAAAAUGUAGGAAGGAAAAAAAGAAACGUCUUGAAUAGACCACCAGGUCGAAACUUGUGGGUGUCUCUUUAUUCUCUUUCGUACUUUUCCCCCCCGACUCUGUAUACAAACCGACAUAGGGAAUGGGACGUACUACGUCAUUGUUUGGACCCGCCUCCAUGCUGGCAAUAUAAUUCACUUCCGGGCCGGCAGAGUCAAUGCGGAUUGUAACGUGUGAUAGUGCUAAGCUAACUCUUUCGGUGUUUUAGAAAGAAAAUAUGGGUGCUUUAUUGUUGCGUUACCGGGUGCAACAGCGUCUCCUACGACAAAAAAGGGGUGAGGAAAAAUGGACUCACUUUUCACCGUUUUCCUGCAUGGAGGACCAAAUAUCAGAUCACGAAGGUACGACGGAUGGCUGGAUUGCAGCGGUUCGUCGGAAAAGCAUUUCUUAUGAUCAUAUUUCUGCUGGAAUGAGAGUGUGUUCCUGUCAUCUCUACUCUUGUAAACCUGCUGACAACACAUCCCGAUUGGUCACCAUCUCUCUUCUUGGAUUAUUUGACAAAGAAAAUUUGUUCAAUGGAGUGGUUCCAUUUGUCCUGUGUCGGACUCAAACAAGCCCCUGCAGCAGACGCCAUCUGGGUCUGCCCUUCUCGUCGAUGAACUGCGGGCUUUUAACUUGUGAAAAUGCAAGAACUUUAAUGCACAUAUUUAUUCUGCCUGGCUAUUUAACUAUGGCCAGUGACGUUUUUUU